rnacentral:rRNA from 1 species
UGCUAUCGGGUUCCGACUAAGCCAUGCGAGCCAAGGGGCUCCUUCGGGAGCACCGGCGCACGGCUCAGUAACACGUGGAUAACCUACCCUCGGGUGGGGGAUAACCUCGGGAAACUGAGGCUAAUACCCCAUAGGCCAUGAGCGCUGGAAGGCCUCAUGGCCGAAAGCUCCGGCGCCCGAGGAUAGGUCUGCGGCCUAUCAGGUAGUUGGUGGGGUAACGGCCCACCAAGCCUACGACGGGUACGGGCCCUGGAAGGGGGAGCCCGGAGAUGGACUCUGAGACACGAGUCCAGGCCCUACGGGGUGCAGCAGGCGCGAAACCUUCGCAAUGCGCGAAAGCGCGACGAGGGGAGCCCGAGUGCCCUGGCACUGCCAGGGCUUUUCCUGAGCCUAAAAAGCUCAGGGAAUAAGGGCUGGGUAAGACGGGUGCCAGCCGCCGCGGUAAUACCCGCAGCUCGAGUGGUGGCCACUAUUAUUGAGCCUAAAGCGUCCGUAGCCGGACCUGUAAAUCCCUGGGUAAAUCCUGCCGCUUAACGGUAGGAAUUCUGGGGAGACUGCAGGUCUAGGGACCGGGUGAGGCCAGGGGUACUCCCGGGGUAGGGGUGAAAUCCUGUAAUCCCGGGGGGACCACCGGUGGCGAACGCUCCUGGCUAGAACGGCUCCGACGGUGAGGGACGAAGGCCUGGGGAGCGAACCGGAUUAGAUACCCC